CAGCUCAUUUACCCUGAUUCUAAAUAUAUGUUUGAAGCAUUGUGUAGGGCUGGUGUAAGAACAAUUUUAUUGUCCAACUUUAAAACCCAUCUUCGGACACUUUUAGAGGCCCUGAAAUGUGAUCACUGGUUUAAUGUAGUUGUUGUAUCUACUGAGGUGGGCACCAUUCAUAGAGUAGCUGCCUUAGCUAAGCCUGUUAGCUCAACCUUCACCAUGUAUCUAUUGUCCUUUGUAUGCAAGUUCUACCUUCGGUUUUCCUAUUAA
rnacentral:rRNA from 1 species